rnacentral:rRNA from 1 species
GAUGAACGCUGGCGGCGUGCCUAAUACAUGCAAGUCGAGCGAACAGAUAAGGAGCUUGCUCCUUUGACGUUAGCGGCGGACGGGUGAGUAACACGUGGGUAACCUACCUAUAAUACUGGGAUAACUUCGGGAAACCGGAUCUAAUACCGGAUAAUAUUUCUAACCUCAUUGUUCGUUAUUUAAAUUUGUUUUUUCUAUCUCUUUUAGAUGUACCCGCGCCGUAUUAGCUAGUUGGUAAGGUAACGGGUUACCAAGGCGACGAUACGUAGCCGACCUGAGAGGGUGAUCGGACAAACUGGAACUGAGACACGGACCAGACUCCUACGGGAGGCAGCAGUAGGGAAUAUUCCGCAAUGGGCGAAAGCAUGACGGAGCAAGGCGGCGUGAGUGAUGAAGGUCUUCGGAUCGUAAAACGAUGUUAUUAGGGAAGAACAUACGUGUAAGUAAAUGUGAACGUCUUGACGGUAACUAAUCAGAAAGCAACGGCUAACUACGUG